AUUAUUCAUUUAUUUGAAUUUCAUAGGAAUAAACGCACUAUUUUUAAUAAUAUCAUUAUUUUAGUUUUAAUACGGUCACCUCCAGUCAAGUUGUCAAGUCACCAAAGUUGUUUUAAUUUCUUCACAAGUAAAUACGGAAUAGCGAUCUUAUUGUCUUUAUAGUGCCAACUCGUCUCAUAGUCCAUCCCCUAGUAAUUUUCGGGUAUAAUAGCGCAUAUGGAAGAAGAAUAUGAAUCUGUUAGAACGAUAAUUACUUACGAGAGGGCCAUACCAUCUCCGGACAUGGAUGGAAUAUAUCCAUGGCCUUUACAAAAUGGGUUACAUGUACUAACUCCACAUGAAUAGUCUGACUAUCGUCAGACUAGCAGCACUUCCCUUGCUCAGGGCUACGUCCCAAAGAAUGAUGUGAGGUAAAACUUGUCUUUAUCCAAAAACAAGUAUCCUAGACACCUUUAUUUUAUACCAAAAUUAGGAAAAAGCGACUACAUAAACCACAAAUCGUACGGACCAUUCAGCCUUCUACUUAAGACAAUGGAGAGGCUGAUUGACUGAUAUCUUAGAGAGGGCAUCUUGGUCAAAAGACUACUGCAGAAGCAAAUCCAUCGACCUGGUACUACACUAUCUCAUGAAAAAGAUAUAGGGUGAUGCUCUAAAUGGUCAUGCUCUCACAGCGUGGUGUAUCUGCCUAGCCUAACAGCGAGGUUGUCAAAACGUUGGCAGCUAGGAGCUGCCCGCAAGGAGGAGUAUUAUUCCUAACCUUGUAGUGCCUAGUGGUCAAGUCAGCUUGAUCGAAUAUUUAAACAAUGCUGACCUGCGCUGAUAGUCUGAUAUUCCCAUGUCCGGAGAAAGACGCCGCCAAAAUGCAAGGCCCGGUGAUAAGGGCUCUGUAUUUGAUGAUGAGGUGCCUCUCGAGGAUCAAUGCCAAAAAAAGCAGAGCUCACAAGGAGACAUUGUAAUACCUCAGGAUAGUUAUCGUUAGUAGUUAUCCUUUAUCGAAGUCAUAACCUUAUUGAGAUUAAACAUAAAUGGUAAUAUUAAACCAUAUGCUUAUGACACAGUAUUAAUCUUUUAGGAACUUCAUGGGAUGAGGUCAACAGGAACGCAAUACAUAAGAUGGAUGUACUAAAACAAUGGCUAGUUUUAAAUAAACUGUCAUUAAAUGUUACAAACACAAAUUUUAGUCAUUUCCCUACAGGAACAAUUGCUAAUGCGCUAAAUUUUUCGAAAAAAUUCGAGAACUAUAAUAUCGAUCCUAUAAUAUCGGCUGAAUUUUAUCAAUUUAAUUUGAACUUAUUAAAAAUUAGUCAGAAUUAUAUUUUAAAAAUAAUCGACACGGAAAGCAGACCAUAUCCUACUAGUGAAUUAUAAAAUAACGAAAUCUUCUAUACAGCUGCUCAUUUACUCAAAAGAACAAAAAUAUCCGCAUAAAUGUAUAAAACAAGACCACAAUAUAAGACAGAUAGAUAUCUAACAACUUUCUUGGUAUACCUGUUAAAAAGAAUCGAACAAUUCUCCUUAGAUUUUUUAUUUAUGUAUUUUUGCCAAUUAUGAUAAGAUUAAUAAAUAUCUUAAAACUGUUUAUUAAAAGGUCUAUCUUUUUAAAAAUUAUUUCCUUUAAGGAAUAUUAUUUUAGUUUGUUAGAUAUUUUACCAAUUUUACCAUAAAGAA